AGAGUUUGAUCCUGGCUCAGAAUCAACGCUGGCGGCGUGCCUAACACAUGCAAGUCGCACGAGAAAGGGGAGCAAUCCCUGAGUAAAGUGGCGCACGGGUGAGUAACACGUGAAUUAUCUACCUCCGAGUGGGGAAUAACUGAGAGAAAUCUUAGCUAAUACCGCAUAACGCUUACGAGUCAAAGCAGCAAUGCGCUUGGAGAGGAGUUCGCGGCCGAUUAGUUAGUUGGCGGGGUAAUGGCCCACCAAGACGAUGAUCGGUAUCCGGCCUGAGAGGGCGCACGGACACACUGGAACUGAAACACGGUCCAGACUCCUACGGGAGGCAGCAGUGGGGAAUUUUGCGCAAUGGGGGAAACCCUGACGCAGCAACGCCGCGUGGAGGAUGAAAUAUCUUGGUAUGUAAACUCCUUUCGAUGGGGAAGAUUAUGACGGUACCCAUAGAAGAAGCCCCGGCUAACUUCGUGCCAGCAGCCGCGGUAAUACGAGGGGGGCAAGCGUUGUUCGGAUUUAUUGGGCGUAAAGGGUGCGUAGGCGGUUUGGCAAGUCUUAUGUGAAAUCUAUGGGCUCAACCCAUAGUCUGCAUGAGAAACUGCCGGGCUUGAGUAUGGGAGAGGUGAGUGGAAUUUCCGGUGUAGCGGUGAAAUGCGUAGAUAUCGGAAGGAACACCUGUGGCGAAAGCGGCUCACUGGACCAUAACUGACGCUGAUGUACGAAAGCUAGGGGAGCAAACAGGAUUAGAUACCCUGGUAGUCCUAGCCCUAAACGAUGAUUGGCUUGGUGUGGCAGGUACCCAAUCCUGCCGUGCCGAAGCUAACGCGAUAAGCAAUCCGCCUGGGGAGUACGGCCGCAAGGCUGAAACUCAAAUGAAUUGACGGGG
rnacentral:rRNA from 1 species